GACGAACGCUGGCGGCGUGCUUAACACAUGCAAGUCGUACGGUAAGGCCCUUUCGGGGGUACACGAGUGGCGAACGGGUGCGUAACACGUGCGUAACCUGCCCACAACUUUGGGAUAACGCUAGGAAACUGGUGCUAAUACUGGUUAUGUGCUCCUGCUGCAUGGUGGGGGUUGGAAAGUUCCGGCGGUUGUGGAUGGACUCGCGGCCUAUCAGCUUGUUGGUGGGGUUGUGGCCUACCAAGGCGGCGUCGGGUAGCCGGCCUGCGGAGGUGACCGGCCACAUUGGGACUGAGAGACGGCCCAGACUCCUACGGGAGGCAGCAGUGGGGAAUAUUGCACAAUGGGCGCAAGCCUGAUGCAGCAACGCCGCGUGCGGGAUGACGGCCUUCGGGUGGUAAACCGCUUUCAGCAGGGACGAAGCUUUUUGUGACGGUACCUGCAGAAGAAGCACCGGCUAACUACGUG
rnacentral:rRNA from 1 species